rnacentral:rRNA from 1 species
UCAGAACGCCGCGGUGAAUACGUUCCCGGGUCUUGUACACACCGCCCGUCACACCACGAGAGUUUGUAACACCCGAAGCCGGUGAGGUAACCUUUUAGGAGCCAGCCGUCUAAGGUGGGAUAGAUAAUUGGGGUGAAGUCGUAACAAGGUAGCCGUAUCGGAAGGUGCGGCUGGAUCACCUCCUUU